UUUAUAUUUAUUGAUAAAGUGUUUCCAUUAUUUGAACUGCCACAAAAGAAAUAUAACAUACCUCAAAUGGGGUCACCAAUUUCGCACAUCACUAUUCCAGCACAUCAACUCUAGAACACUUUAAGUCCUCUUGGGUGGAAGUCUUGGAUGUUUAAAUUACAGAGGAGCAAUGGGAGGCAGCCCUUAAACAGAUUUGUGGCUCAUCGUUUUGUGCAAAACAUGAAGGACUCAUACAGUUUAAAGUAAUACAUUGUUUACACUGGUCUAAACAAAAGCUCAGUAAGUUAUUCCCAAAUGUAGACCCUUCAUGUGAUCGUUGUGGGCGUGCACCAGCAUCACUGGCCCUGUGGCCCUUCAUCCUACUGGAGAAGUAUUUUUGUCAAGAAUAUUACAAAGGCCUAUUGAUCUAGAUCCCCUGAUGGUGGUUUUAGGUAUUGUUGAAUCGGAGAUAACUAAAAACAGGGCUGAACAAAGUAUAAUUGUAUUUGUUUGUCUACUAGCACAAAGUUUAAUAUUGUUAAAACUGGAAACGGAAAGAUGUGCCCACAUUUAUAAAUCUGAUGAGGGACAUAAUGAAACAUUUGGAUCUAGAGAAAAUUUUCAGAGAUAUGGCAACCUUUUUUUUAAUUACUUUGGUUAUUGAAUCUACAGGAAUUGUUCAACUGAUCAAUUGAGAUAAAUGAUUAAAUGAGCUAAGAAAAUGAUUAAAUCCAUACUUGGUGUUUAUUGGACUAAAACCCCCUACUUUUGUUUUAGAUAAAUGGUCUACUGUUGUUUUCUCUGUGUAUUUUCUUUUUGUUUUCUUUUCCUUUUUUUUGCUGUUCUGUAAUUAUAUGUUGGAUAGUUAUAUGUGAGAUAUUAGUUAAUAUGUGUUGGUGUAUAUGUGUUGCAUGGUUCUGUAAAAUCUAAUAAAUAAAGUAUUUUGUUUUUAAAA